UACAUAGGCCACAAGCGUUAUCCGGAUUUACUGGGCGUAAAGUGUGUGUAGCUGGUUAUGUAAGUCUGUUUUCAAAGACCAUGACUCAAUCAUGGGAAGGGAAUUGAUACUGCAUAGCUAGAAGUAAUUGGAGGUUAGUAGAAUUUCUGGUGGAGAGGUGGAAUUCGUUGAUAUCAGAAGGAAUACCAAAAGCAAAAGCAGCUAACUACGAUUAUCUUGACAGUGAUACACGAAAGCUUGGGUAGCAAACGGG
rnacentral:rRNA from 1 species